rnacentral:lncRNA from 1 species
UCAUGUGGUCUCACAAGGUUCCAGGAUUUUAUAAACUUAAGAAGCUAGUACAAAAAACACAACUAAUCAAAACACUAAAUUGGAUAGGCUGAUAGGCAAGAGUUCCCACAUAGUAUAUCAAGCAAACAGCACAGAUAGGUCCUUUAAUAAGUUUCCAGGAUAGUAUUAAAGAAACUACGAACACCACAACUAGUGAAGGCUGGACCAAACAAAAAAAAAAAUGGGAUAAGCCGAUAGGCAAGAGCAACUCGUCAAUGGAACAAACCAAGUGGGAAGCAUCUUCGACACUACACUAAGAAUGGAUCAACUAAAUCCAAAUCACGAACAUGACCCAGGGAAUAACGGACACAAUUAUGAAUUGUAAAAUGAAUCUGAGCCCCUUUUGAAGCCCUUUCAUCCAGCUGAAGCUUCCUACGUUGUUCUGCCAAGAAUUCCUUAUUGCCGGAGCAACCCCCAAGCUUCACCAGCUCUAGCACUCUCGCAUUCAAUACAAAGAAUGUCACAAAGUUAACUUCAGACUUGAUGCCACGAUAGGAAUCCAACGCUAUUGUCUUCAGACGGAUAUCAGGACAUCUGGUCAGAUCCCGGUGUUUGCAACGCCACAAAUUGUUUGGCUUUGGCUCUCGCACACGAAACUAAAAAUAACAUACAGAAAUAAGUAAACCAAUCAUUUGAGAAGAGAAGAAGAACAAAAGUGUUUGAACAUUCAAUGAAUGAAGAAUCAUCACCCCAGUCUGAAUGUACAGCUUCUCCAAGCAUGGAAAGCAUGUCAUCAGCUCAAUAACCAUAUCCAAACUUAGUACUCUCAGUUGGACAGCUAAAGUCUUGGCUGUGCGGACCACCAUUGCCAGCUUAUCAACGUGCGAUCCCUUUGGCAAACAUGAAAGGCAACAUAUUAAUGUCUUUUGAUUUUUUGCGGGAGCCCAUUCACAAAUCAAGUGAUAAAUAAUUUUUCAACAAACAAAAUUGAAAUUGAAAUGACUCAAAAUGGUAGUACCUGAAUAAUUGUGGAGCCAAACUCGAAUCUGCAGAGAUAGUCCUGAUUGGCAUUCUUGUAGUAACCAUCAGAAAGGUAGCCUAUUGUCUCCAGUUGAGGCGCUGAGACCACAGAUACAUGCAGAUCAGUGCCGAAAUGAAGAUUGAGCAACUUCUCAAGACAAGGGGCAUUCUCGAUAAUGAGAUCCUUUAAAUGGACACGAUUUCGGUAAGCACUAUUGUUAUUAUCAACACCAAUUCUCCUAAGGGUAAGGGAGUUGAUCCGAAGGGAGCAGAAAUCAAAGCUUUGUAAUAUCAGCAAGCACUCGAGAGCGGGG